AUUGAACGCUGGCGGAAUGCUUUACACAUGCAAGUCGAACGGCAGCACGGGGCAACCUGGUGGCGAGUGGCGAACGGGUGAGUAAUAUAUCGGAACGUGCCCAAUCGUGGGGGAUAACGUAGCGAAAGUUACGCUAAUACCGCAUACGAUCUACGGAUGAAAGCGGGGGAUCGCAAGACCUCGCGCGAAUGGAGCGGCCGAUAUCAGAUUAGGUAGUUGGUGGGGUAAAGGCUCACCAAGCCAACGAUCUGUAGCUGGUCUGAGAGGACGACCAGCCACACUGGAACUGAGACACGGUCCAGACUCCUACGGGAGGCAGCAGUGGGGAAUUUUGGACAAUGGGCGCAAGCCUGAUCCAGCCAUUCCGCGUGCAGGAUGAAGGCCUUCGGGUUGUAAACUGCUUUUAUAUGGGAGCAAUAAGGUUUACGCGUAGACCGAUGAGAGUACCAUAUGAAUAAGCAUCGGCUAACUCCGUG
rnacentral:rRNA from 1 species